AGCUGUCAAUCAAACUGCCGUGCGAUUGGUAUAAGAUUCGUUUUUCUGAUUGGCUGAUUGGAUUAACGGUCUCCAUGGCGCGUCGCUUCACGUUGGCGGAAGAUGCUGAUAGUUUAUUGAUGUUCGUGGGCGUUUAAGGAUUUCAGCGAUACCAAACUUGAUUGGUGAAAUAAUCUAACAAUCGCCUAAAAUGACUUUAAAACCGCAUUUAUAUUAGUUUGCGUAGCUCCGAUAAAACUUUCCGGCAAAACAAAUUUACUGUUUUUUCAGGUUCUUUUUACUCCCGCUUGAACGCAAACAAACUGAAGUUAAUCCGUGGGGGUUUUCCCUUUAAACAAGCAAUUGUUUGUUUUUAAAAAGCCGUUUUUGUUCCAAUAAACGGCUUUUUAACAUUGAUUGUAAUGGGUAGAAGUAGGGUCACGAAGUAUUUACUGCCGUAAAUUAAGACGUUGCUGUUUUUAUGUCGUAAAUUCUUUACUGAGGUUCGUGAAUCUACUGAAAGAUAAACAUCUGAACUUUGAAACGACGUAUAACAUGUCCGUGUCUAUGUUUCCGGUCAUCAUGAAAAUAUACAUUAUGUUUAUCUAUUAAUAUUACCAUGCAAACUUGGGUCGCAUACAACCUCUGCGUUUUAAAAAGUUAAAGGUCCGAAGCAUCUCAGGAGCUGCAGAGCCUUCUGUCACAAAUCUUGAUGAAACAAAUGACUGGGCGCUCCUUAAGUGUGAUGUUAAAGGUGCUUCCCCCAAACCUACAGUCGAGUGGUGGGACAGUAACAAUCAAACCAUUCCUUCUGAGGAGCCGCAGGUCUCUAAAAGAGGAGAGCGCUUCUUCAUCACCCUCAAAACUAAUGUGACAAAGUCCGACCGCUAUCACUGUGUCGCCACACAGAAGGAAAUCUGGCAUCAGGCACAUACGGAAAUCAAUGUGCGUUUGAAUGGUGAGUGAAAUUUUAAUCUUAAAAUGUUUUAAGUAAUUGUUGUUUUUCAAAAAUGUGAAAUGUGCUCAGACUGAAUACACAGAAUGAUGUCUGCAAAGAAGCUAAAUAUUAACUAAUGAAAUCAUAAAGACAGAUGUCUGGAAAAUGUUUCUCAGGUGAAAAAAGUAGAGGUGUGUGAUAAAACACUCCAGCAGACAGAUUCACUGGAGCUGAAGCAAAAAGUAACUUUAGUCUGAAUUCAACUCAUAAAUGAGUUAGUUUGUGUUUGUAUACAAGACCUCUUACAGGUGUCAUUAUGAGCAGUUAUCAGUGUUACAUAUAUGAUGCACAGUGUGAUUAUAUUCCUUAUUUUUUAUGUGCUGUAGCAAAUGUUUGAGGGCAGAUGCUAAAAAGUGAGAUGACACCCAUUACACUUCUGAGCUCCGUCUCAUUAAGGAGUCAUUUUCCUAUAUUCUGGGAGUUUCCUGAUAGCAAAUCAUCAAACUAUUUUAAUAACGUCUGUUGUGGUCCCUAAAUCCAGCCAAUCAUAUGAAGUGCCAAACCAUUGAUGCAACCCACAGAAAACUUAAUGAUACAAACACAGCAGCAAAUAUUAAAAAUAUAUAUAAGAGAGGGAAGUCUGAGAAGACUUUCUAACUAAUGUUAAUGCAUUAAACAAUAGAGCCAACAAUGGAAUAGAACUCCCAAUCAUAUACUUUAUAGUAAAGAUGAGCAAGUUUUCACUGAGGUCACAGUGUAAUUGAGCUCUUUUCUAUACAUGUGGUGAGUGAAGAAUAAUCUGGAUGAGUCCAUUGAAUUGCAAGUAAAGAUAUUUUUUGGCAAAUGUGACAAAAGGCUUUGUGUUCAUUUCGCUCAAUAGUUGUUUUCUCCCUGGAACUCUCCCAUGGAUUCAUUUUUCCCCAGUCUCAUUCUUAUUGUUGAAUAACUACGGCAAGUGAGGCCUUUGAUUCUGAAGAAUUUGUUCUGGGUUCUUCUGUGACCUCCUGGAUGAGUCAUCGAUGCUCUAGCAUCUAAAAGUAAUUUGGUCGGCCACCAUCACCACUGUGGUUCGCUGUAGUCACAAAGCCUUAUCCGUGGUUUUGUACCCUUUCCAGACUAAUAGGUGACAGUGACUUUGUUUUUCAGUGGUUUCUGUAGAUUAUAGCAUGACGUGGUGGUUUUUGAGAACUUUUAGCCCACUUUGUCAGAUAGGUUCUGUGUAGGUGAUUUCUUGAUUCAGCAGGUCUGGCAAUAAUCUAAUCAGGCCUAAGUGUUUUUAGUGAAAAGGAACUGAGCUUUAAGAAAUAUGGUUAAAGUAAACAUGGAAAUCAGAAAGGGGUGAAUACUUUUUCAUAGCAAUUAAAUGCAUAAUUAUGUAUCUACAGUCGCCCUUGCAGGGGCAUGCAUGACAAUCCACAUGUAUUCAUACUGUAUGCAUUCGUAUCAUUAAAAAAAAAGAAUAAAAUAGUAGAAAUCAUCUUAAUGCUCAGUAUUUCUGAAUGUAAUAUUCAUGUCAGAUGAUUAAAUAUAACAUAAAAACAAGAAAACGAUUUUGCAUAAAAAAUAGAUCCUAACAGUCCAAAAUCCUCCAGUGCAGAGAGUCAUUUGUUGGCAGUGCAGCAGGCGGUCAUUACACUGACAGAUUUGUAUUCCUUGUUUUCUGGAAUCAUCAGUCUGAAGAGAUUCACUUUAAUGAUGUGUGUAUUUAAGAAGCUCAGGGUGGAGGAAACCUCGAUUACACACAGACUCACACAUGUUUUCAGAUGUGAGGCUCAGUAAAAAGAAAGCAGGAGUCUGUGAGCAGCAGCACAGAUUCAAACAUCUUUCAUACAAGACAAAACUCCAACAUCAUCUUUACAGCUGAGAGCAGAACCAGAGCCAGCCUGUGAGCUGUGGAGACGAGCAGGAGAAAACAGGAAGUUGGAUCCAUGCUGACAUCACUGAGCUCGCUGUUUAAACCUGCUGUCUGUUCCUGACAUGCAGUCACAGUCUGACCUACACCAAUGUUUUCUCUUCAGUUCCAGAACCAAAGACUGGAUGGAAGAGUGUAGCUGUUGCUGUUCUUGCUGUUCUUGCUGUUGUUCUUGUUGUUGUUCUUGUUGUAGUUGGGAUUCUUGUCUGGUGGUGUUGCUUCAAGAAUAAAAAAAAAAGACCAGAAGAAACAGAAUCCACCCUUCGAGAAAGAGAAAAUCUACACUGAUCAAAGUGUGAAGUAUGGUGUGUGUGUAGCUUAUGUGUUUGUUUUAUGAGAACCAAGUUAAGCUUUUGAGCAGAACAGUGACGACAUGUUGGAUUAUUUUUGGUAUUUUCAGCAGUUUAAAAGUUCUGAACAGAUUUUAAUCCUGUGGUUUAGCACAUGGUUAAAUGUCAGGAUGGAGGGAUGUAGCCAUUUUUGUUAUACUUUCAUCCUAAUCACCCCAUAUUUUUAUAUAAAAAUAAAAGUUUAAAUGACUCAUAGUGCUCAAUACUUGAUACACAAACCCCGUUCAAGAACAAAUUUUGUCACAUUCACAGUACAACAUAUAGUGAAAUGCUUGUGUCCUGAACUGCAGACGUAGCUGCGCCAUUCCAGGGCUGGUUUUUAGCAUGGGGGAUGCCAGGGCCCUGACUGGA